GCUCAAGUAGCUUACAAUAAAGCAUUGUUUUUGUAAAUCAAAGCCGGACUAAUCCCUAGAGCA
rnacentral:tRNA from 1 species